GGAUGGGCAUGCGGCGCAUUAGCUAGUCGGCGGGGUAACGGCCCACCGAGGCGACGAUGCGUAGGGGUUCUGAGAGGAAGGUCCCCCACACUGGUACUGAGACACGGACCAGACUCCUACGGGAGGCAGCAGUGAGGAAUAUUGGUCAAUGGGCGGGAGCCUGAACCAGCCAAGUCGCGUGAGGGAAGACGGUCCUAUGGAUUGUAAACCUCUUUUGCCGGGGAGCAACGGGGUCCUUGCGAGGGCCUAAUGAGAGUACCCGGAGAAAAAGCAUCGGCUAACUCCGUGCCAGCAGCCGCGGUAAUACGGAGGAUGCGAGCGUUAUCCGGAUUUAUUGGGUUUAAAGGGUGCGUAGGCGGGCUGUUAAGUCAGCGGUCAAAUGUCGGGGCUCAACCCCGGCCUGCCGUUGAAACUGGUGGCCUCGAGUGGGCGAGAAGUAUGCGGAAUGCGUGGUGUAGCGGUGAAGUGCAUAGAUAUCACGCAGAACUCCGAUUGCGAAGGCAGCAUACCGGCGCCCGACUGACGCUGAGGCACGAAAGCGUGGGUAUCGAACAGGAUUAGAUACCCUGGUAGUCCACGCAGUAAACGAUGAAUGCUAGCUGUCCGGGGCUUCGGUCCUGG
rnacentral:rRNA from 1 species